rnacentral:rRNA from 1 species
AGUUUGAUCAUGGCUCAGAUUGAACGCUGGCGGAUGUUUACACAUGCAAGUCGAACGGCAGCACGGACUUCGUCCGGUGGCGAGCAGAACGGUGAGUAAUGUAUCGGAACGUGUCAGUGGAAGGGGGAUAAUCACGCGAAAAGUAGCCACACGCAUACUACCUUCGGGAAAGUUAGACCGGCCUCGUAAUUAGAGCAUUGAUAUCGAUUAGCUAGCUGGUGGCAACGGGUCACCAAGGCGACGAUUCGUAGUUGGUUUGAGAGGACUGACCAGCCACACUGGGACUGAGGUACGUCUCAGACCUUGCCGUAGAGGCAGCAGUGGGGAAUUUUGGAUAAUGGGAACUGAUCCAGCCAUCUGGGCGUGUGCGAUGAAGGCCUUCUUGGGUUGUAAAGCACUUUGGCAGGAAAGAAACGGCACGGGAUAACACCCAGUAAAUCGACUGCACUUGCAGAAUAAGCAGCACCGGCUAACUACGUGCCAGCAGCCGCGUAAUACGUAGGAAAGCGUUAUCCGACAUUGGUGCAAGCGUGGCGCAGGCGGUCUGAAAGAAAGACAGAACCCAAGAGCUUAACUUGAAUCCUAUUUUUAAUUUACUGAGCGAGUGUGUUUGAGGAGGUGAAUUCCGCGUAGCAGUGAAAAUGUAGAUAUGCGGAGGAACACCGAUGGCGAAGGCAGCUCCUGGGAUAACAUCAGACGCCUGCGUAAUGAAAGGAGCAAACAGGAUUAGAUGACCCUGGUAGUCCACGCUGCCCUAAACGAUGUCAACUUCAUUAUUAAGCCUUCACGCAGAAGACUGCGUAAAGUUGACCGCCUGGGAGUACGGUCGCAAGAUUAACUAAAGGAAUUGACGGACCCGCACAAGCGUGGUGGGAUGAUGCGGACGACCUGAUGCAAACGCGAAACUUUACCUACUCCUUGAUGUCUGAAUCCUGAAGAGAUUUGGGAGUGCUUCGCAAGGAGAAUCCGAACACAGGUGUUGCAUGGCUUGCCGUCAGCUCGUGUCGAGAUGUUGGGUUAAGUCCAACGCGUAACCUGGUCAUUAUUGUUACUUAUGGGCACUCUAUGAGAUCGUUGCGGACAAACUGAGGAAGGUGGAUGACGUCAAGUCCUCGUAAUUUAGCGGUAGGGCUUGCCAUCGCCAUAUAAUAUCGGGACAGAGGGAUCGCCAACUCCGCGAGGGAGCCAAUCAGAAAUCCGAUCGAGUCCGGAUCGUAGUCUGCAACUCGACUGUGAAGCUCGAAUCGCUGGGGCAAUCGCGGGACUCAGCAUGUCGCGGGUGAAUACGUUCCUUGGUCUGCACACACCGCCCGUCACACCAUGGGAGUGGUCUUACCAGAAGCAGGUUAGCUCAACCGUAAGGAGGGGCGAUUACCACGGUAGGAUUCAUGAUCGGGGGUGAAGUCGAACAAGGUGC